rnacentral:rRNA from 1 species
AACGAACGCUGGCGGCAGGCCUAACACAUGCAAGUCGAACGCCGUAGCAAUACGGAGUGGCAGACGGGUGAGUAACACGUGGGAACGUACCUUUCGGUUCGGAAUAACUCAGGGAAACUUGAGCUAAUACCGGAUACGUGCGAGAGCAGAAAGAUUUAUCGCCGAAAGAUCGGCCCGCGUCCGAUUAGCUUGUUGGUGAGGUAACGGCUCACCAAGGCGACGAUCGGUAGCUGGUCUGAGAGGAUGAUCAGCCACACUGGGACUGAGACACGGCCCAGACUCCUACGGGAGGCAGCAGUGGGGAAUAUUGGACAAUGGGCGCAAGCCUGAUCCAGCCAUGCCGCGUGAGUGAUGACGGCCUUAGGGUUGUAAAGACUCUUUUACCUACGGGAGUGAUAAUGACA